CUGUGUGUUCCUGAUAAUAAGUUCCUGUGUGUUCCUGAUAAUAAAUUCCUGUGUGUUCCUGAUAAUAAGUUUCAACUGCCUGCCCCAACCCGUGCAGACCUUAGCGAAACAGUUCAUCUUGCAUUUCAAGAAAGAAACUAACGCCUUUUUUCUACGUUUUUAUUUUCACAAAAAGAUUUUUUUGUCUACAAACUCUUUAUACAAACUCUACAUUAUUUAGUAAAAAGCACGAAACAAGGCUGUAUGCAACUUGCAUCUAUUUAUAACUUUAUACACGACAUACUUUUCUCCUCCAGAGCUAAAUAUAUAUUCUUAAUGUCUAAACAAACACAUACAUUAAAGUUUCAAUAAAAAAAAGGCUUUGUACUUUUAUUUAUGUACAUUCAACUGAUAUGAUACAAUUAUGUACAUUCAAUCAAUAUGAUACACUUAUGCACAUUCAAUCAAUAUGAUACAAUUAUGCACAUUCAAUCAAUAUGAUACAAUUAUGUACAUUCAACUGAUAUGAU